CAGCAUGAUUGUCUGAUGAGAGCUGAAAAGCAGCACUUGCUGUGACACACGAACUCAUCUGAGCAGAGACAGUGAAAACUGACAGCUCUGUACAAAGAAGCUGAAUGUACACAAUGCCAAACACCACCUGAAAACUUUAUUGCUGCUGUCAGCAACUUCUCUACUAGUUCAGUUUGAGAGAGCAAAAGCAGAGGGAGAGAGCAAGAGAGAAGGAUGGAGCUGCAGCCACACAGAUCACAGCAGUCUGUAUGAAAACUAGAGUUCAGCGAGACCAAAACUGCAGUAAGUAUGCACAAUUUGUCUUCAAAAAG
rnacentral:lncRNA from 12 species